rnacentral:lncRNA from 1 species
UGCGGUCUCUCCUUCACUGCAGCCGAGGUGAGUAAGACAUUUAAACGUGUUAACCCUCGCAAGGCUGCAGGCCCAGACGGCAUCCCCAGCCGCGCACUCAGAGCAUGCGCAGACCAGCUGGCCGGUGUGUUUACGGACAUAUUCAAUCAAUCCCUAUACCAGUCUGCUGUUCCCACAUGCUUCAAGAGGGCCACCAUUGUUCCUGUUCCCAAGAAAGCUAAGGUAACUGAGCUAAACGACUACCGCCCCGUAGCACUCACAUCCGUCAUCAUGAAGUGCUUUGAGAGACUAGUCAAGGACCAUAUCACCUCCACCCUACCUGACACCCUAGACCCACUCCAAUUUGCUUACCGCCCAAAUAGGUCCACAGACGAUGCAAUCUCAACCACACUGCACACUGCCCUAACCCAUCUGGACAAGAGGAAUACCUAUGUGAGAAUGCUGUUCAUCGACUACAGCUCGGCAUUCAACACCAUAGUACCCUCCAAGCUCGUCAUCAAGCUCGAGACCCUGGGUCUCGACCCCGCCCUGUGCAACUGGGUACUGGACUUCCUGACGGGCCACCCCCAGGUGGUGAGGGUAGGCAACAACAUCUCCUCCCCGCUGAUCCUCAACACUGGGGCCCCACAAGGGUGCGUUCUGAGCCCUCUCCUGUACUCCCUGUUCACCCACGACUGCGUGGCCACGCACGCCUCCAACUCAAUCAUCAAGUUUGCGGACGACACAACAGUGGUAGGCUUGAUUACCAACAACGACGAGACGGCCUACAGGGAGGAGGUGAGGGCCCUCGGAGUGUGGUGUCAGGAAAAUAACCUCACACUCAACGUCAACAAAACUAAGGAGAUGAUUGUGGACUUCAGGAAACAGCAGAGGGAACACCCCCCUAUCCACAUCGAUGGAACAGUAGUGGAGAGGGUAGCAAGUUUUAAGUUCCUCGGCAUACACAUCACAGACAAACUGAAUUGGUCCACUCACACAGCCUCUUCAACCUCAGGAGGCUGAAGAAAUUCAGCUUGUCACCAAAAGCACUCACAAACUUCUACAGAUGCACAAUCGAGAGCAUCCUGGCGGGCUGUAUCACCGCCUGG